CCAACCAUUGUAAACAUAUCCCACCACAUUUGCAGGGUGAAUUUCAUGGGCGUAUUCAGUUUUACAGGUGAUUGCAUAUUUCAAAUUUUAGCAUGACCAGGUGGUUACAAGGAUGAUCUAGAUCUAUUAUAUCACAUGGGAAGGAAACGAUUUGAGUUUAGUGCAACAGGUGGGGCUACCCUCUUGAUUACGAGCACUCAUGGUAGGGUGAAUAUCUGUAGAGGGUCUUCUGAUGUCAACUGACUCGCAUGGAAUACAGGUGAACUAACAUGUGGGCAUUCAAAAAGAUGGUGGUUGUGACUGUAGAGCCUGAACAUGUAAUUGCCGAUCCGCAUGAAGAUACUGUACAAACAACUAUCAAUGGCUGUCAGAGAGAGAUAUAGGGGCAUGUUCAUUUCACAACCAACAAUAUGUUAAGAGUUGCAAAACGACAUACUUCACUUAUGUGUAUCAUCCAAAGUAAUAGGCACAACUGUACAAGUACAUUAUGUGGUUUACACCGAUAAAUAUGGUGGACAUGUUUUCUACAGUAAACAGUUUAUAUGCCCAACUUGAGUUCCCAUAUCAUCUUUGUCAUCAAUUAAGUUAAAGAGGUAGCACACUACUUGAUUUUCUAUGACAUAAGAGGUGUAAAGACCAUGAAGAAGGGCGAAGUUUCAUUGCUAAGCAUUCAUACAAAAUAUGGAUUCGGUCUUUGACUAAAUCAAUUCAAGACUCUGCUACUGUUUCUGCAAAUUGUACCAUGUAUUAUGAUGUCGAGUUGGUCUUAUUUAAAGUGAUUAUGCUUGUAGGUAGAUUUUGUACACAGGUCGAAACAAUUUUUUUGGCAAGUUUUAAGAGUUGUAAUGAAUUAUGUCUGCAUGGUUGAGAUGUUGGCUCGGAAAAUGAUGUUUGGUCUCUAAUAGUUUAUAUAAUUUUAUGCGUAUGUUAUCUUAAAUCAAGGAUUCGAAGCAAUAGAGCUCAUUGCUGAUGUUAUUAUUAAUCUAUUUUAGUGGCAUUAGUUUGAAAGGUUUUUUUGUUAUGUCAUAAUUUUUGGAGCUAUAGUUGUAUACAAUGAUUGGAUUCUUCAUUACUCACAUUUGUUGGGGUUGCAGUCUUGCGGAUUAUCUUGAUGCUAUUGUCAUAUUAGGCUAUUGGUUUUGUCACGAAACUGAACCAUUUAUAAUAGCAUCAAAUUGAUGUUGAAUAUUUAAAAGUCAAAAAUUUGUUUUU
rnacentral:lncRNA from 1 species